rnacentral:rRNA from 1 species
GAUGAACGCUGGCGGCGUGCCUAAUACAUGCAAGUCGAGCGAACAGACGAGGAGCUUGCUCCUCUGACGUUAGCGGCGGACGGGUGAGUAACACGUGGAUAACCUACCUAUAAGACUGGGAUAACUUCGGGAAACCGGAGCUAAUACCGGAUAAUAUAUUGAACCGCAUGGUUCAAUAGUGAAAGACGGUUUUGCUGUCACUUAUAGAUGGAUCCGCGCCGCAUUAGCUAGUUGGUAAGGUAACGGCUUACCAAUGCAACGAUGCGUAGCCGACCUGAGAGGGUGAUCGGUCACACUGGAACUGAUACACGUUCCAGACUCCUACGGGAGGCAGCAGUAGGGAAUCUUCCGCAAUGGGCGAAAGCCUGACGGAGCAACGCCGCGUGAGUUAUGAAGGUCUUCGGAUCGUAAAACUCUGUUAUUAGGGAAGAACAAAUGUGUAAGUAACUAUGCACGUCUUGACGGUACCUAAUCAGAAAGCCACGGCUAACUACGUG